GUACACAAAAAUGCACAUAUUGUGAGCUCGAUGAGUAGGGCGGGACACGUGGUAUCCUGUCUGAAUAUGGGGGGACCAUCCUCCAAGGCUAAAUACUCCUGACUGACCGAUAGUGAACCAGUACCGUGAGGGAAAGGCGAAAAGAACCCCGGCGAGGGGAGUGAAAAAGAACCUGAAACCGUGUACGUACAAGCAGUGGGAGCCUCUUUAUGGGGUGACUGCGUACCUUUUGUAUAAUGGGUCAGCGACUUAUAUUCUGUAGCAAGGUUAACCGAAUAGGGGAGCCGAAGGGAAACCGAGUCUUAACUGGGCGUUAAGUUGCAGGGUAUAGACCCGAAACCCGGUGAUCUAGCCAUGGGCAGGUUGAAGGUUGGGUAACACUAACUGGAGGACCGAACCGACUAAUGUUGAAAAAUUAGCGGAUGACUUGUGGCUGGGGGUGAAAGGCCAAUCAAACCGGGAGAUAGCUGGUUCUCCCCGAAAGCUAUUUAGGUAGCGCCUCGUGAAUUCAUCUCCGGGGGUAGAGCACUGUUUCGGCAAGGGGGUCAUCCCGACUUACCAACCCGAUGCAAACUGCGAAUACCGGAGAAUGUUAUCACGGGAGACACACGGCGGGUGCUAACGUCCGUCGUGAAGAGGGAAACAACCCAGACCGCCAGCUAAGGUCCCAAAGUCAUGGUUAAGUGGGAAACGAUGUGGGAAGGCCCAGACAGCCAGGAUGUUGGCUUAGAAGCAGCCAUCAUUUAAAGAAAGCGUAAUAGCUCACUGGUCGAGUCGGCCUGCGCGGAAGAUGUAACGGGGCUAAACCAUGCACCGAAGCUGCGGCAGCGACACUAUGUGUUGUUGGGUAGGGGAGCGUUCUGUAAGCCUGUGAAGGUGGCCUGUGAGGGUUGCUGGAGGUAUCAGAAGUGCGAAUGCUGACAUAAGUAACGAUAAAGCGGGUGAAAAGCCCGCUCGCCGGAAGACCAAGGGUUCCUGUCCAACGUUAAUCGGGGCAGGGUGAGUCGACCCCUAAGGCGAGGCCGAAAGGCGUAGUCGAUGGGAAACAGGUUAAUAUUCCUGUACUUGGUGUUACUGCGAAGGGGGGACGGAGAAGGCUAUGUUGGCCGGGCGACGGUUGUCCCGGUUUAAGCGUGUAGGCUGGUUUUCCAGGCAAAUCCGGAAAACCAAGGCUGAGGCGUGAUGACGAGGCACUACGGUGCUGAAGCGACAAAUGCCCUGCUUCCAGGAAAAGCCUCUAAGCAUCAGGUAACAUCAAAUCGUACCCCAAACCGACACAGGUGGUCAGGUAGAGAAUACCAAGGCGCUUGAGAGAACUCGGGUGAAGGAACUAGGCAAAAUGGUGCCGUAACUUCGGGAGAAGGCACGCUGAUAUGUAGGUGAAGCGACUUGCUCGUGGAGCUGAAAUCAGUCGAAGAUACCAGCUGGCUGCAACUGUUUAUUAAAAACACAGCACUGUGCAAACACGAAAGUGGACGUAUACGGUGUGACGCCUGCCCGGUGCCGGAAGGUUAAUUGAUGGGGUUAGCGGUAACGCGAAGCUCUUGAUCGAAGCCCCGGUAAACGGCGGCCGUAACUAUAACGGUCCUAAGGUAGCGAAAUUCCUUGUCGGGUAAGUUCCGACCUGCACGAAUGGCGUAAUGAUGGCCAGGCUGUCUCCACCCGAGACUCAGUGAAAUUGAACUCGCUGUGAAGAUGCAGUGUACCCGCGGCAAGACGGAAAGACCCCGUGAACCUUUACUAUAGCUUGACACUGAACAUUGAGCCUUGAUGUGUAGGAUAGGUGGGAGGCUUUGAAGUGUGGACGCCAGUCUGCAUGGAGCCGACCUUGAAAUACCACCCUUUAAUGUUUGAUGUUCUAACGUUGGCCCGUAAUCCGGGUUGCGGACAGUGUCUGGUGGGUAGUUUGACUGGGGCGGUCUCCUCCUAAAGAGUAACGGAGGAGCACGAAGGUUGGCUAAUCCUGGUCGGACAUCAGGAGGUUAGUGCAAUGGCAUAAGCCAGCUUGACUGCGAGCGUGACGGCGCGAGCAGGUGCGAAAGCAGGUCAUAGUGAUCCGGUGGUUCUGAAUGGAAGGGCCAUCGCUCAACGGAUAAAAGGUACUCCGGGGAUAACAGGCUGAUACCGCCCAAGAGUUCAUAUCGACGGCGGUGUUUGGCACCUCGAUGUCGGCUCAUCACAUCCUGGGGCUGAAGUAGGUCCCAAGGGUAUGGCUGUUCGCCAUUUAAAGUGGUACGCGAGCUGGGUUUAGAACGUCGUGAGACAGUUCGGUCCCUAUCUGCCGUGGGCGCUGGAGAACUGAGGGGGGCUGCUCCUAGUACGAGAGGACCGGAGUGGACGCAUCACUGGUGUUCGGGUUGUCAUGCCAAUGGCACUGCCCGGUAGCUAAAUGCGGAAGAGAUAAGUGCUGAAAGCAUCUAAGCACGAAACUUGCCCCGAGAUGAGUUCUCCCUG
rnacentral:rRNA from 1 species